rnacentral:rRNA from 1 species
UAGGGAAUCUUCGGCAAUGGACGAAAGUCUGACCGAGCAACGCCGCGUGAGUGAAGAAGGUUUUCGGAUCGUAAAACUCUGUUGUUAGAGAAGAACAAGGAUGAGAGUAACUGUUCAUCCCUUGACGGUAUCUAACCAGAAAGCCACGGCUAACUACGUGCAG